rnacentral:lncRNA from 1 species
CAUGCAUAUAAAAAAGAAAAAAAAAAAAAAAAGAAAAUCUGGAAGCCUGGAUGUUUUCCUAAAGUAUUUAAUAGCACUGAGGAUGUGAAAUACUGUACUGAGUCCUCUGGGAAACCUACAAUUAGUGGAAUGAAAAUACCGCCUGUAAAUGAUUGAGCUCCUGAAACAGUGUGAGCAAUUAAAAUGCUAUACAGGACAGAGUUGAAAAUCCUUACAGGAUUAUCACAGUGAGGCAUUGUUUAAAAGGAUGUCCUUGAGUUGGACAGUAGCAGCAGCAUUGCUUGUAGAUGUUUCUCAGAGUUCCUGUGGGAGUGGGAGGCUGCAGACAUGGUGUGCAGUACCUGCUUAGCCUCAUGUUUUCUUCCACUUAUACUCUCACUGUUCCAACUGAGAGAAACUCUUCAUGCCAUAUUUAUUUCGUUCCACGAGGACUGCAGGAGAAAGACUGCAAGCAUUCCUCAACCUACCUGAGACACAGACCUUGAAAUAUAGAGGGAAGAGUAGAGCCUUGGAACUGGACUAAUCGUUUUGGGUUGCUGCUGGGAGCACAAUGGUGGCAAAGUGCUGUGACAAGGGACCCUGCUCUUGAACCAACAACAGGAACUAAGCUGACAAGACAAUGAUGGUAUUUUGGCUCAGCUGGCAAAAACAUUGCUUUUGGACAGACUGGAAAUGUUACAUUGAGAAGCAGUUAGUACACCGUUGUGUAAGGUUCCUAAUGGACUGGAGCCAGAACGCUCCAUUAACCACAUGUGUAUGAAAUAUUCAUUGUGCUUGGCUUUUAUUGCCAAGAAGAAGAAAGGUGGAGAAGCUUUGUGUAUAGAGAUAAAGCUGUCAGUAUUGAGGGCUGAAGGAAGGAGUUGAUAACGUGUUCUGAAAUUUUUCACUCUUCAUAUGAGAAGGAUUUUGAGUCUUCAGCAGGGGGCAAAUGUGUGCAGAUUAAAUGCAAGACUUGUUGCUGGGUUUUACAUUUCAUGUAUAAUUUUCCAAAGGGAGAAGGCACCUCCUGUAUCUGUGCCAAACCCCCUGAUCUAUUUUAUACUGUAUGGACCCUGGAAAUGAAACUAAGAGUCAAUCUUUAGAAAAUAAAAUGUGAGAACCACAACCA